GUGCUCGCUUCAGCAGCACAUGUGCUAAAACUGGAACAAUACAGAGAAGAUUAGCAUGGCCCCUGCUCAAGGAUGACACGCAAAUUCCUGAAGCGUUCCAUAUUUAA
rnacentral:snRNA from 1 species